rnacentral:rRNA from 1 species
AGCGAACGCUGGCGGCAGGCCUAACACAUGCAAGUCGAGCGCCGUAGCAAUACGGAGCGGCAGACGGGAGAGUAACACGUGGGAACGUACCCUUUGGUUCGGAACAACCCAGGGAAACUUGGGCUAAUACCGGAUAAGCCCUUACGGGGAAAGAUUUAUCGCCGAAGGAUCGGCCCGCGUCUGAUUAGCUAGUUGGUGGGGUAACGGCCCACCAAGGCGACGAUCAGUAGCUGGUCUGAGAGGAUGAUCAGCCUCACUGGGACUGAGACACGGCCCAGACUCCUACGGGAGGCAGCAGUGGGGAAUAUUGGACAAUGGGCGCAAGCCUGAUCCAGCCAUGCCGCGUGGGUGAUGAAGGCCCUAGGGUUGUAAAGCCCUUUCGGCGGGGAAGAUAAUGACGGUACCCGCAGAAGAAGCCCCGGCUAACUUCGUGCCAGCAGCCGCAGUAACAC